rnacentral:rRNA from 1 species
GACGAACGCUGGCGGCGUGCUUAACACAUGCAAGUCGUACGGUAAGGCCCUUUCGGGGGUACACGAGUGGCAAACGGGUGAGUAACACGUGAGUAACCUGCCCACAACUUUGGGAUAACGCUAGGAAACUGGUGCUAAUACUGGAUAUGUGCUCCUGCUGCAUGGUGGGGGUUGGAAAGCUCCGGCGGUUGUGGAUGGACUCGCGGCCUAUCAGCUUGUUGGUGGGGUAGUGGCCUACCAAGGCGGCGACGGGUAGCCGGCCUGAGAGGGUGACCGGCCACAUUGGGACUGAGAUACGGCCCAGACUCCUACGGGAGGCAGCAGUGGGGAAGAUUGCACAAUGGGCGCAAGCCUGAUGCAGCAACGCCGCGUGCGGGAGGACGGCCUUCGGGUUGUAAACCGCUUUCAGCAGGGACGAAGCUUUUUGUGACGGUACCUGCAGAAGAAGCACCGGCUAACUACGUG